CGUCGUCCUCCUCUUCUUCCAACCCCAAGAUGGAGAGCUGAUCCAGGGCGAACCUCAGGGCGGCGGCGGCCGCCUCCUCUUGCUCUGUUGAUGGUGGAGUGGAUACUCAGGGCAUGCAGAUUCGUUGUCCAAAAGGAGAAAAAGUGCCCGCACCGCUGCCACCUCACCAAGACCCUGGGGCCUCUAGAGCUGGCCCGGACCUCAGGGGCUGUCUGAUCCAACUCUCUUUUUUUCACUUGAGGAAAUUGAAGCCCAGGGAGAUUACACAACUUGCCAAGAUCAAAGAAGUAGUAAACGACAGAGGAGGACAGGGGAGGUGAUGUUCCUGAAGAGUGACACCAUCACUCAUGGAUGUCUCACUCUGCACCCUGAGUCCACCUCCUCUGAGUCAGGAGCUCCCGACAUGGGACCCACACGUGGGACUGGUGUGGACGGAUCCCCUGAUUUCCUCACUGAAGGUUUCCUCCUGAUGAAAUUGCUGUUGGGGCCAAAACCCAAACCCGAACGACCCUAAAGUAUAAGGACAUUAUGGGGCCAUAAAAACAAUAAAUGUGAAAAAUCCAAGGAAAUCCAGGAAGACGUGGAAGCAAAAGUAAGACCAGUGAGACCAGGGCAAAACAGUAACUGACAUGCAACUGGAGAAAACAGAAAAUUAAACAGAAGGCCAUAAAUCUUCUGCCAAAUUUGGAAGGAAGCACGAAUAUAAUCUAAUCACUUAGGGGUGGCCCUCUGGACAAGUGGAUGAGGAUCCACAUGGGAAGAAAUGUCAGUGAUGUAAAGAGAAGAGAUAUCAAUAACAA